GUCACUUUGCCGGAGUGGUUAACGGGAUCGCCUGCUAUUGAGCAGUAUUAGCGGUUGGGCUUUGCCCGCGAGUGUUCGAAUCGCUCAGGUGACG
rnacentral:tRNA from 1 species